GAUGAACGCUGGCGGCGUGCCUAAUACAUGCAAGUCGAGCGAACAGACGAGGAGCUUGCUCCUCUGACGUUAGCGGCGGACGGGUGAGUAACACGUGGAUAACCUCCCUAUAAGACUGGGAUAACUUCGGGAAACCGGAGCUAAUACCGGAUAAUCUAUUGAACCGCAUGGUUCAAUAGUGAAAGACGGUUUUGCUGUCACCUAUAGCUGGAUCCGCGCCGCAUUAGCUAGUUGGUAAGGUAACGGCUUACAAAGGCAACGAUGCGUAGCCGACCUGAGAGGGUGGUAGGCCACACUGGAACUGAGACACGGUCCAGACUCCUACGGGAGGCAGCAGUAGGGAAUCUUCCGCAAUGGGCGAAAGCCUGACGGAGCAACGCCGCGUGAGUUAUGAAGGUCUUCGGAUCGUAAAACUCUGUUAUUAGUGAAGAACAAAUGUGUAAGUAACUAUGCACGUCUUGACGGUACCUAAUCAGAAAGCCACGGCUAACUACGUG
rnacentral:rRNA from 1 species